rnacentral:rRNA from 1 species
AAUUACAUACCGAAGCUGCGGAUUUGUGAGGUCUUUGGACCGCAUAAGUGGUAGGAGAGCGUAAUCGAUGCUGCGAAGCUGGACGGAAACGGAAAGUGGAGCGUCGAUUAGUGAGAAUGCAGACACGAGUAGCGAUAAACAAGGUGAGAAUCCUUGUCGCCGUAAACCCAAGGUUUCCUGGGCUAGGUUCGUCCUCCCAGGGUUAGCCGGGAGCUAAGAUGAGGCCGUAAGGCGUAAUCGAUGCACAGCAGGUUAAAUAUUCCUGCGCCGGGUAAGAAUUAGUGAAAGAUUGACGCAACAAUACACAUCAACACGCUCAUUGAAAGAGCAAGCCUAGGUCUUUGACCAAAGCAAGUUGGUGGGUUAAUUGCCUAGAAAAGAUUUUUCAUAUGUCUUACUCGCCCGUACCGUAAACCGACACAGGUGGGUGAGUGUAAAUGCACUAAGGCGCGCGAGAGAGACCUCUCUAAGGAACUCGGCACAUUAGCCUCGUAACUUCGGGAAAAGAGGUGCUCACUUCGGUGAGCCACAGUAAAUUGCGUUUAGCGACUGUUUAACAAAAACACAGCACUCUGCUAAGUCGUUAAGACGACGUAUAGGGUGUGACACGUGACCAAUGCGGAAAGAUUAAGGCAUUUUGUUAGCCGCAAGGCGAAGCUCGGUGCCAAAGUCCCCGUGAAUGUCGGCCGUAACUAUAACGGUCCUAAGGUAGCGAAAUUCCUUGUCGGGUAAGUUCCGACCUGCACGAAUCGUGUAACGACUGAACGACUGUCUCGGAGAGGAUCUCGGCGAAACUGUAACUGCGGUGAAGAUGCCGCAUGCCCGCAGUAGGACGGAAAGACCCUAUGCACCUUUACUGUAAGCUGGUAUUGUGUUCUGAUUAAUAAUGCGUAGCGUAGGUGGGAGGCUUUGAAGUGAGUGCUUCGGUGCUCAUGGAGCCGCAAUGUGAAACACCACUCUUUGCUAAUUAGGAUUCUAACCUCGAUUCCUGUCAACCAGGCGAGGGACAGUGCUUGCGGGUCAGUUUGACUGGGGCGGUUUCCUCCCAAAGAGUAACGGAGGAGCGCGAAGCUUGGCUCAGCACGGUUGGCAACCGUGCGUCGAGCGUAUGGGUAUAAGCCAGGUUAACUGUGAGACCUACAAGUCGAGCAGAUGCGAAAGCAGGCCCAAAUGAUCCGAUGGUUUAAUGUGGAAUUGCCAUCGCUCAACGGACAAAAGGUACGCUAGGGAUAACAGGCUGAUCGGUUCCAAGAGUUCACAUCGACGAACCGGUUUGGCACCUGAUGUCGGCUCAUCGCAUCCUGGGGCUGGAGAAGGUCCCAAGGGUCCGGCUGUUCGCCGGUUAAAGCGGUACGCGAGCUGGGUUCAGAACGUCGUGAGACAGUUCGGUCCUUAUCCACUGUGGGCGCAGGAAUCUUGAGGGGUUCAUUCUCUAGUACGAGAGGACCGAGAAUGACGCACUUCUGGUGUGGCAGUUGUUCCAUCAGGGGCAUCGCUGCGUAGCCAUGUGCGGAAGAGAUAAGCGCUGAAAGCAUCUAAGUGCCAAGCUCAUCCCAAGAUAUGGAUUCCCGGACGCAAGUCCCUAAAGACCCCCGGCAGACUACCGGGUUGAUAGGUCAGGCAUGUAAGCGUCGCGAGAUGUUUAGUGGACUGAUACUAAUUGGUCGUGCGGCUUGAUC